rnacentral:lncRNA from 1 species
GAAGGCUGUUGUCAGACAGCUGUUUGAUGCAAAGCAGACUGAUAUAUGACGUGGUCCCUGUGGGAAGCUGGGGGAGAUGCACACAGGAGCCAGCCCACCCUCACCUGCCUCCCUUCCCUGUGUCACACUGUGACAUAUUCGCCAUCCUCACGGAGCCUUCUGCCUUCCUUCGGUGCUGAUGGGCCAUCUCCCACCUCUGAGGAGUCUUUGAGGAAGGCAACUUACGUUGCAUCAACAAACAGGCCCUGCCUAAUUUCCCCAUGGGUGUGUAGAAACUAGACGCAACUUCUGGCCACUGGAUGCUGAGAUGAGAAUUUGUCGUGCUAACCAAAUUAACUCCUUGUUGCCUUGUCCCUCUCCAUUUGUUUGCUGUAGACUGCAGUAUCCUUUGAAGAAGAGACAUCUUUACAACAUUUAUUUGCACAGCACUUAGUCUAAAUUCCUCACUGGUCUUUGACUAAAUCUUCCAGGCAUUCCAGCUACCCACAUAAUAUAUUAAAGCAACAAGUAGCUCUCUUACAGGGCCCCAGUUGGGACAGGCAUGCAUUGUUGGUUCCUUUAAAAACCUAUGCUCUUUGUUUCCUUCCAAAUAUUUAAACAAACAGUAUUUUCAUUUCAGGCUCUUUAACUCUUUCCCACAUCUUGUGGUAUCUUCCUAAAGUAAAGUGUCAGGGGUCCCAAAUCCUCAGUAGAUCAUAGAACAGAAUCACAGAAUCACAAUCAUUAAGGUUGGAAAAGACCUCUAAGAUCAGCCAGUCCAACCGUCAGCCCACCCCCACCACGCCCACUGCCCACAUUCCUGAGUGCCACAUCCACACGGCUCUUCAACACCUCCAGGGAUGGUGACUACACCACCUCCAUGGGCAGUCUGUGCCACUGCCUCACUGCUCUUGCUAAGAAAUUGUUCCUAAUAUCCAACCUGAUAUGUGCAUAUGGAGAGUGUACACUCAGAGCUUCACCAGUGCCUUUAGAGUUCCAUAAAGUCCUCCUCAAUGGAAGAACAGGCUGCCAAAACAGCUUGCCAUGUAAUAUAUAUUGUCUGGUUAAUGUGUGCCUAGUGUGAAGCUCAGUCCUUGGUUAUCUUUAUGGUUAGGGCUGGGGUUCACUUUGAAAGAAUGAGAAACCACGGAGUUGCAGUUCACUGCAAUGGUGAGGG